UACGUAGGGUGCGAGCGUUAAUCGGAAUUACUGGGCGUAAAGCGUGCGUAGGCGGUCCGUGAAGUCUGAUGUGAAAGCCCCGGGCUCAACCUGGGAACUGCAUUGGAAACUGACGGGCUCGAGUGUGGCAGAGGGGGGUGGAAUUCCACGUGUAGCAGUGAAAUGCGUAGAGAUGUGGAGGAACACCGAUGGCGAAGGCAGCCCCCUGGGCUAACACUGACGCUCAGGCACGAAAGCGUGGGGAGCAAACAGG
rnacentral:rRNA from 1 species